rnacentral:lncRNA from 1 species
GAGUUUUACUACAUUUCACCUCUUAUAAAGUCAUAUCACCGCUCCUAUACGAUAGUCAAGGAUCGAUGUUGUAAUUGUUGCAGAUAAUUAAAAAAAUUAUUGAAUAGAUAUAAAAAAUAGUUUUAAAAAUAAUAUGAAUUGGGAAAAAUAAAAAUGUAAAGUAAAACUUAAACACAUGAGGUGUUAGAAAUUUUUCUAAAUCAUUAUUAUCUCUCGUAUAGGAUAGAUGGAUCUAACGCUCCCAAGAUAUAACUAAUAUUCAACUCAACCUAGCCCCUUCCUAUCGCAACACAAGCACA